GUAACGGCAAUGGGAGAUCAGAGCCCCGCGCGCGUUGCGGUCCUCGCGCUCGCAGCGCUCGCCUUCUGCGUAACGGUCGCGAUCAACGCGUUGGCCGGAUCCGGCAGCAAAGGAGGUCCCUUCCAUCAAAGCACAGGGAACGUAUCGGCCAAAUACGAAACGGACAUAACGCCGGCGGGCUGGACCUUCUCCAUCUGGGGAGUCAUCUACGCCUGGCUCUCUGCUAUGAUGCUCUACAUCGUAACUGGUUUGUGCCGGAGGAAUUCCUAUGGGUGGACGUACUGUAAGCCUGCAGUCCUGCCCUAUGGCUUCUUCUUGUCUUGGACCCUGAACAUGAUUUUAAACAUCGUGUGGUUGUUCCUGUGGGACAGAGAGCAACUUGUUGCAGGCCUUGUUGUGUUGGCCCUCAUCGCUUUCACCAAUUACCUCGUCAUUUUCUUCUGCUGUCACGGGUUGCAUUUAUACGGGGCUUGGCUGAACAAAGACCACAAAGUGGACCUCUGGGCCAUUCGGGUGCUGAUCCUGAACGGUGUUGGAGUCUAUGCAACGUGGACCACCAUAGCGACGCUGCUCAACUUCAGCGUUGUGCUGGAGUACAGUGCGGGGGCGUCCAGAGCCGGAGCAGGAACCGUGGGUCUCUCUCUUCUUUUGGCAGAGGUGAUCAUAUGGUUCAUUUUGGAGAACGUUUUGCUGGAGAGACACGUACGCUACCUCCUCACGGUCUACCCGGUGGUGAUUGUCGCCUUGACCGGCAACGUGGCGAAACGUUACGACCCCGCAGCUCCCAGUCGGAACAGCAUCUUUACAGCUGUUCUCCUGGCCUUGGCCUGUGCGCUCUUCGUUCUGCGUGUUCUCUUGGUGGUAUUCAGAUGCUGGAAGCAGCCUCUCUACCGAGGCGAAAACACAGAAGCCCUGAUGUCACCCUUAGAUAUUGCUGAGAAACAGAAAAGAGUCUUUAUUUAGCCAAGUGGUCGUGUAUAAAAGAGUCAUCUGUUAAGGUCCAGUGUCUCUUAUUUUGGGCCUCCUUUUAAUAACAGAAUAAAUAGCGGUACUGUAACGUCUCA
rnacentral:lncRNA from 1 species